UGAACGCUGGCGGCAGGCCUAACACAUGCAAGUCGAGCGGAUGAAGGGAGCUUGCUCCUGGAUUCAGCGGCGGACGGGUGAGUAAUGCCUAGGAAUCUGCCUGGUAGUGGGGGAUAACGUCCGGAAACGGGCGCUAAUACCGCAUACGUCCUGAGGGAGAAAGUGGGGGAUCUUCGGACCUCACGCUAUCAGAUGAGCCUAGGUCGGAUUAGCUAGUUGGUGGGGUAAAGGCCUACCAAGGCGACGAUCCGUAACUGGUCUGAGAGGAUGAUCAGUCACACUGGAACUGAGACACGGUCCAGACUCCUACGGGAGGCAGCAGUGGGGAAUAUUGGACAAUGGGCGAAAGCCUGAUCCAGCCAUGCCGCGUGUGUGAAGAAGGUCUUCGGAUUGUAAAGCACUUUAAGUUGGGAGGAAGGGCAGUAAGUCAAUACCUUGCUGUUUUGACGUUACCAACAGAAUAAGCACCGGCUAACUUCGUG
rnacentral:rRNA from 1 species